AGCCAUGCAUGUCUAAGUAUAGCAAUUAUACCGUGAAACUGCGAAUGGCUCAUUAAAUCAGUUAUCGUUUAUUUGAUAGUACCUUACUACUUGGAUAACCGUGGUAAUUCUAGAGCUAAUACAUGCUGAAAACCCCAACUUCGGGAGGGGUGUAUUUAUUAGAUAAAAAACCAACGCCCUUCGGGGCUUCUUGGUGAUUCAUGAUAACUUCACGGAUCGCAUGGCCUUGCGCCGGCGACGGUUCAUUCAAAUUUCUGCCCUAUCAACUUUCGAUGGUAAGGUAUUGGCUUACCAUGGUUUCAACGGGUAACGGGGAAUUAGGGUUCGAUUCCGGAGAGGGAGCCUGAGAAACGGCUACCACAUCCAAGGAAGGCAGCAGGCGCGCAAAUUACCCAAUCCCGACACGGGGAGGUAGUGACAAUAAAUACUGAUACAGGGCUCUUUUGGGUCUUGUAAUUGGAAUGAGUACAAUUUAAACCUCUUAACGAGGAACAAUUGGAGGGCAAGUCUGGUGCCAGCAGCCGCGGUAAUUCCAGCUCCAAUAGCGUAUAUUAAAGUUGUUGCAGUUAAAAAGCUCGUAGUUGAAACUUGGGCCUGGCUGGCAGGUCCGCCUCACCGCGUGUACUUGUCCGGCCGGGCCUUUCCUUCUGGAGAACCUCAUGCCCUUCACUGGGUGUGUUGGGGAACCAGGACUUUUACUUUGAAAAAAUUAGAGUGUUCAAAGCAGGCCUUUGCUCGAAUACGUUAGCAUGGAAUAAUAGAAUAGGACGUGCGGUCCUAUUUUGUUGGUUUCUAGGACCGCCGUAAUGAUUAAUAGGGACAGUCGGGGGCAUCAGUAUUCAAUUGUCAGAGGUGAAAUUCUUGGAUUUAUUGAAGACUAACUACUGCGAAAGCAUUUGCCAAGGAUGUUUUCAUUAAUCAGUGAACGAAAGUUAGGGGAUCGAAGACGAUCAGAUACCGUCGUAGUCUUAACCGUAAACUAUGCCGACUAGGGAUCGGGCGAUGUUCUUUUUCUGACUCGCUCGGCACCUUACGAGAAAUCAAAGUUUUUGGGUUCUGGGGGGAGUAUGGUCGCAAGGUGA
rnacentral:rRNA from 1 species